GCUUCUAGCCGAUUUGGUUAUAUGGUCUUAGUAGCACUCCUCAAGUCCUGGGUUCGACUCCCCGUGGGAGCG
rnacentral:tRNA from 7 species